CAGUAGCCGCGGUAAUACGUAGGGUGCGAGCGUUAAUCGGAAUUACUGGGCGUAAAGCGUGCGCAGGCGGUUCGUUAAGACAGAUGUGAAAUCCCCGGGCUUAACCUGGGAACUGCAUUUGUGACUGGCGAGCUAGAGUAUGGCAGAGGGGGGUAGAAUUCCACGUGUAGCAGUGAAAUGCGUAGAGAUGUGGAGGAAUACCGAUGGCGAAGGCAGCCCCCUGGGCCAAUACUGACGCUCAUGCACGAAAGCGCGGGGAGCAAACAGGAUUAGAUACCCGCGUAGUCCCUGUCUCUUAUAC
rnacentral:rRNA from 1 species